rnacentral:rRNA from 1 species
GAGUUUGAUCGUGGCUCAGAUUGAACGCUGACGGCGUGCUUUACACAUGCAAGUCGAGCGGCAGCACGGGUGGCAACACUUGGUGGCGAGCGGCGGACGGGUGAGUAAUACAUCGAGACGUGCCUAAUAGUUGGGGAUAGCCGAUCGAAAGGUUGGAUAAUACCGAAUACACUCUGAGGAGGAAAGCUGGGGACUUAGCUUGCUAGGCCUGGCGCUACUAGAGCGGUCGAUGGUUGAUUAGCUAGUUGGUGGGGUAAAGGCUUACCAAGGCGAUGAUCAAUAGCUGUUCUGAGAGGAAGAUCAGCCACACUGGGACUGAGACACGGCCCAGACUCCUACGGGAGGCAGCAGUGGGGAAUUUUGGACAAUGGGGGCAACCCUGAUCCAGCAACGCCGCGUGAAUGAAGAAGGCCUUAGGGUUGUAAAGUUCUUUUACAUGGGAGCAAGUUUAGUAGGUUAAGAGCUAAUUAAAUUGAGAGUACCAUGAGAAUAAGCACCGGCUAACUACGUGCC